AACGUUGUCCGGAAUCACUGGGCGUAAAGGGUCCGUAGGCGGUUUGAUAAGUCUCAUAUGAAAGCUUCAAGCUCAACUUGGAGAUGUUGUGAGAUACUGUCAGACUAGAGACUGUUAGAGGUAAGUGGAAUUCCAGGUGUAGUGGUGAAAUGCGUAGAUAUCUGGAGGAACACCAGUGGCGAAAGCGACUUACUGGGACAGUUCUGACGCUAAGGGACGAAAGCGUGGGGAGCGAACCGGAUUAGAUACCCGGGUAGUCCACGCCGUAAACGAUGAUUGCUAGGUUUUCGGGGCAUCGACCCCUUGUGAGCCGAAGUUAACGCGUUAAGCAAUCCGCCUGAGUAGUACGGCCGCAAGGCUAAAACUCAAAGGAAUUGACGGGGGACCGCACAAGCAGCGGAGCGUGUGGUUUAAUUCGAUGGUAAGCGAAGAACCUUACCAGGGUUUGACAUGUAAGUAGUACUGAACCGAAAGGGGAUGGACCCGCAAGGGAGCUUACACAGGUGUUGCAUGGUUGUCGUCAGCUCGUGCCGUGAGGUGUUGGGUUAAGUCCCGCAACGAGCGCAACCCUCUUUGUUAGUUGCACUCUCUAACGAUACUGCCCUUAAAAGGGAGGAAGGUGGGGAUGACGUCAAAUCAUCAUGGCUCUUACACCCUGGGCUACACACACGCUACAAUGGCAAGUACAGACGGUCGCCAACCCGCGAGGGGGAGCUAAUCCGAUAAAACUUGUCUCAGUUGGGAUUGCAGGCUGAAAUUCGCCUGCAUGAACGUGGAGUUGCUAGUAAACGCAGGUCAGCACACUGCGUUGAAUACGUUCCC
rnacentral:rRNA from 1 species